UACUUAAGUCUUAUACUAAAUUAAAUUUUCAUGGAUAAAACUUAAAGCUUUGGCUUUAUGGAGUAUUAAUCUUAGGGGGAGCUUGCAAACCUCAUAAACCUAAGAGAAACAUGAUAAGUUAAUUUAACAACAAUUGUCAAUUAAUACUUAUGUUUGUCAUCAUCAAAAAGGGGGAGAUUGUUGGAACAAAAUUGAUUUAAAAAUGUUUGCCCCUAAAUCUAUUAAGGUUUUGAUGAUAACAAAGUAUUAAUAAACAAUUGGAAGGACUAAAAAUUUAAUUUCAGUGUGCAGAUAUUAGCUUCAGAUAAGCUCUGAGUGAAGCUCAGAAGAUAUGUAUUCAGAAGUUUACAAGCGCUCAGAAGAUGUUGAACUUCAGAAGUUACAACCUUCAGAUGAUGAAGUCGUCAGAACUUCUUAAGUGUCUAAAGCUUCAUCAACCUCUGAAGAUCUUCUUGAAGUCUGUGAAGAUUCCCUUUUGCUAGUCAACUCUUCUACCAAUGAAGAAAAGGACCUUUCAAGCUUGAUCAGAACAGCUACUCUCAUU
rnacentral:lncRNA from 1 species